rnacentral:lncRNA from 1 species
GGGAAGAUCCCAAUGGUGGAAGACCCCAAUGGUGGAAGAUCCCAAUGGGGGAAGAUCCCAAUGGGGGGAAGAUCCCAAUGGGGGA